UACGUAGGGGGCAAGCGUUGUCCGGAAUUAUUGGGCGUAAAGCGCGCGUAGGCGGUUACUCAAGUCGGAUGUGAAAGCCCUCGGCUUAACUGAGGAAGUGCACCCGAAACUGAGUAGCUAGAGUACUAAAGAGGGUCGCGGAAUUCCCGGUGUAGAGGUGAAAUUCGUAGAUAUCGGGAGGAACACCGGUGGCGAAGGCGGCAUCCUGGACCAACACUGACACUGAGGAGCGAAAGCGUGGGGAGCGAUCCGG
rnacentral:rRNA from 1 species